rnacentral:rRNA from 1 species
UACCAGCACCCCGAGUGGUCGGGACGUUUAUUGGGCCUAAAAGCAUCCGUAGCCGGUUCUACAAGUCUUCCGUUAAAUCCACCUGCUUAACAGAUGGGCUGCGGAAGAUACUAUAGAGCUAGGAGGCGGGAGAGGCAAGCGGUACUCGAUGGGUAGGGGUAAAAUCCGUUGAUCCAUUGAAGACCACCAGUGGCGAAGGCGGCUUGCCAGAACGCGCUCGACGGUGAGGGAUGAAAGCUGGGGGAAGCAAACCGGGAU